rnacentral:rRNA from 1 species
GUCCGGGAUAACCCCGGGAAACUGGGGAUAAGACCGGAUAGAUCACCUAUGCUGGAAGGCUUGGUGGUUUAAACGUGAGGCCUUUGGAUGGGUCUGCGGCGGAUUAGGUUGACGCCGGUGUAACGUACCGGCGUGCCUGUAAUCCGUACGGGUUGUGGGAGCAAGAGCCCGGAGAUGGAUUCUGAGACACGAAUCCAGGCCCUACGGGGCGCAGCAGGCGCGAAAACUCUACAAUGCAGGCAACUGCGAUAGGGGGACAUCGAGUGGCAUCCACCUUGGGUGCCUGUCCCACCGUCUAAAAAACGGUGGUUAGCAAGGGCCGGGUAAGACCGGUGCCAGCCGCCGCGGUAAUACCGGCGGCUC